GGGGAAUUAGCUCAUCUGGCUAGAGCGCGACAAUGGCAUUGUCGAGGCGACCGGUUCGAGUCCGGUAUUCUCCACCA
rnacentral:tRNA from 1 species